UGGGGAAUUUUGGACAAUUGGGCGAAAGCCUGAUCCAGCAAUGCCGCGUGUGUGAAGAAGGCCUUCGGGUUGUAAAGCACUUUUGUCCGGAAAGAAAUCCUUGGCUCUAAUACAGUCGGGGGAUGACGGUACCGGAAGAAUAAGCACCGGCUAACUACGUGCCAGCAGCCGCGGUAAUACGUAGGGUGCAAGCGUUAAUCGGAAUUACUGGGCGUAAAGCGUGCGCAGGCGGUUUGCUAAGACCGAUGUGAAAUCCCCGGGCUCAACCUGGGAACUGCAUUGGUGACUGGCAGGCUAGAGUAUGGCAGAGGGGGGUAGAAUUCCACGUGUAGCAGUGAAAUGCGUAGAGAUGUGGAGGAAUACCGAUGGCGAAGGCAGCCCCCUGGGCCAAGUACUGACGCUCAUGCACGAAAGCGUGGGGAGCAAACNGGAUUUAGAUACCCCUGGUAGUCCACGCCCCUAAAANGAUGUCAACUAGUUGUUUGGGGGAUUCAUUUUCCUUAGUAACGUAGCUAACGCGUGAAG
rnacentral:rRNA from 1 species